UUCUGUCCCGCUCAUCCGGUUGUUCCAAUAUUCCAAAGGGUGAUUAUUGAGCAAUGCGCAUGUGCGGGACAGAC
rnacentral:pre_miRNA from 1 species